rnacentral:rRNA from 1 species
CCUACGGGUGGCAGCAGUAGGGAAUAUUGCUCAAUGGGGGAAACCCUGAUGCAGCAACGCCGCGUGGAUGAUGAAGGUUUUCGGAUUGUAAACCUCUUUUAUUAGAGAAGAAAAUGACGGUAUCUAACGAAUAAGCACCGGCUAACUCCGUGCCAGCAGCCGCGGUAAUACGGAGGGUGCAAGCGUUACUCGGAAUCACUGGGCGUAAAGAGCGCGUAGGCGGGAUUGCAAGUCAGAUGUGAAAACCUAUGGCUUAACCAUAGAACUGCAUUUGAAACUGUUAUUCUAGAGUGUGGGAGAGGUAAGUGGAAUUCUGGGUGUAGCGGUGAAAUGCGUAGAGAUACAGAGGAAUACUCGUUGCGAAGGCGAACUGCUGGACAGUAACUGACGCUGAUGCGCGAAAGCGUGGGGAGCAAACAGGAUUAGAUACCCGAGUAGUC